AAGUGAAUUCCGAGAAAGUGAAUUAUUUUAUAAUGUUUGGUAGUGUAAUGAAAAAUAAGUUGGAAAACACUUUCCAGUGUUUGGUUAUGUCAUGGAAAAUGAGCUGGAAAAUAACUUAUUAAUGUUUUAUUUUUCUUAAAUUUAUUAAAAUAAUAAAGAACAAAUCUUACAAAUUAAAAAGUUGAAUAAGAAUAAAAUUGAAAAAAAUAUAAUUUCAUAAAUUAUCUCAAAUAAAAUAAAUAAUAAUCAAAAUAAUAGAGAUUAAAU
rnacentral:lncRNA from 1 species